rnacentral:rRNA from 1 species
AACGAACGCUGGCGGCAUGCCUAACACAUGCAAGUCGAACGAAGGCUUCGGCCUUAGUGGCGCACGGGUGAGUAACGCGUGGGAAACUGCCUAUUGGUGGGCAAUAACGACGGGAAACUGUCGCUAAUACCGCAUAAGCGCCUCGGGGGAAAGAUUUAUCGCCUAUAGAUGUGUCCGCGUCCGAUUAGCUAGUUGGUGAGGGAAUGGCGCACCAAGGCGGCGAUCGGUAGCUGGUCUGAGAGAAUGAUCAGCCACACUGGGACUGAGACACGGCCCAGACUCCUACGGGAGGCAGCAGUGGGGAAUAUUGGACAAUGGGCGAAAGCCUGAUCCAGCAAUGCCGCGUGAGUGAUGAAGGCCUUAGGGUUGUACAGCUCUUUCGGGUGGGACGAUGAUGACGGUACCACCAGAAGAAGCCCCGGCUAACUUCGUGCCAGCCGCCGCAGUAA